CUUCUAUUCACACUCCUUUUCCUCUCCCCUCUCUUCCCCCUCUUCCCAGCCUCCGCCGCCGAGCUCAAACGCUGUUAAUUGGAGCAGAUUCAUCAUCAGUAUCAUCGCUGCUCUCACUUAAUGGAUCUGGAGCAUCUAUGGGCAGAGCUCGCUUCCUCUUCUUGUCAUCGUCGCCGUCCAUCCCUCCGCUCCCGCCGCCGCCACAGACAUGAAAGGAAGAAGGAAAGUCCUAUUUGUUGAUAUGAAAUUGGGGAGAGUUGCAGUUUGGAAGGAAGAUUGCAGCUUUUUGAGAUUAGUCAUAAUUGCUAAUUGCUAUAGGAAGAAGGUAGAAGGAAAGUCCUAUUUGUUGAACCCUUUUUGAGAUUAGUCCUAAUUGCUAUAGGAACGUAUUCGUUAAACAAGCUGUAAAUCUGCAUCUUUGCGAUGAUAAACCAGUCGAUGCUAGAGGUGAAUUUAUUUUC